rnacentral:lncRNA from 1 species
UGAACAUGAUUGUGAUUUGACUCUAGUUUUAUAUACUAGAGAAUCGAAUAUUUUGGGAAUUGGGAUGUUCGUGAAAAUUGAACUUGAGUUUAGUUUAACGACAUUUCGGUCGAUAUCGGAUUUAGGUUUAGUUUAACGACGUUUCGGUCGGUUGAUUUGGUGGAUUAGUUUAACGACGUUUCGGUCGAUUUAUUUGGUGGAUUAGUUUAACGACGUUUCGGUCGAUUUAUUUGGUGGAUUUAGUUUAACGACGUUUCGGUCGAAUGUUUGGGUUUGGUUUACAAGGUUUAUGGUAUUGGGUAUAUAGGAUUAUGGUUCAUGAACUUAGGUAUGGUUCAUGGGUUUAUGGUUCAUGGACUUAUGGUUCAUGGACUUAUGGUGUAUGGUUUGGUCCAUGGUUUUGGUUCAAAGUUUAUGGACUUGGUUAAGGUUAUGGGCUUGGAUAUGGGUUAAAUGUGUAUGGGUUCAUGGGUAAAUGGGUUUAUGGGUUAAUGGUUUUAAUGAGUUUUGGAUAAUGGGCUUAGAUAAUGGG